rnacentral:lncRNA from 1 species
UUCCCUAAAAAAAAAAGAAACCGAAAAAAAAAAAAUUACAUUUCCUAAAAAAUAAAAAAGAAACCGAAAAUAAAAAAUAAAAAAAAUUAUGUUUCCUAAUGCCUACGACGUCCAUUUUUUUUUCACCUCUUCCUUCAUCCUCCGAUAAACCUCACUUGAACCGGGGGUUGCGAUUGGGAUUGUAGUUGUUCAAACGUGUUGCGUUGCAUGAUUUGUUGGAGCGCUUGAUAUUGUUGAACUUGUUGUAGUUGAGACAUUUGUGAGAAGGCGUUGGGUGUUUGUUGGAAACCCGAAAACGGAAAUGGCGAAGCCCCCCACGAAGGAUCCAUAGUCGGAGUGUAAGCGGGACUAGAAAAAAAAUUAGGUUGGUUCGGAUUUGGAUUAUUCGGGUUGGGGUUGUUCGGGUUGGGGUUGUUUGGGUUGAAUGGAUUCAUGUUUGGGAGAGAAUGGUAUAAAAAAUAUAGAGUUUUUUUAUAAAAAAGGAUGAGAAAUAGAGAAGAAUGGGAGUAGAAUGAGAGAAUUUGGUUUAAAAAAGGUGUGGGAUUAUGGUAUUUAUUUAAAAGGAAAUUGAUUUUUUUUUUUUUAUUAAACUAGCCGUUUAAUAACGGUCGGAUUUUUUGAAUGAGGCUCGGCCCACCCGGCUGUGGGUGGCCGAUGUUGAUGGAAGCCGGACCAGGGGGGCGGUGUGGGGGUCCGGCGCCGGGCCAAGCCGGGCCAAGCCGGCCCCCAUACCCACUAGUCU